GUGCACGCUGGCGGUCGGCCUAACACAUGCAAGUCGAACGGCAGCACAGUAAGAGCUUGCUCUUACGGGUGGCGAGUGGCGGACGGGUGAGGAAUACAUCGGAAUCUACUUUUUCGUGGGGGAUAACGGAGGGAAACUUACGCUAAUACCGCAUACGACCUACGGGUGAAAGCAGGGGAUCUUCGGACCUUGCGCGAGUGAAUGAGCCGAUGUCGGAUUAGCUAGUUGGCGGGGUAAAGGCCCACCAAGGCGACGAGCCGUAGCUGGGCUGAGAGGAUGAUCGGCCACACUGGAACUGAGACACGGUCCAGGCUCCUACGGGAGGCAGCAGUGGGGAAUAUUGGACAAUGGGCGCAAGCCUGAUCCAGCCAUACCGCGUGGGUGAAGAAGGCCUUCGGGUUGUAAAGCCCUUUUGUUGGGAGAGAAAAGCAGCAGGUUAAUACCCCGCUGUUCUGACGGUACCCAAAGAAUAAGCACCGGCUAACUUCGUG
rnacentral:rRNA from 1 species